GCUAAACGCGAAGAACCUUACCUACUCUUGACAUCCAGAGAACUUAGCAGAGAUGCUUUGGUGCCUUCGGGAACUCUGAGACAGGUGCUGCAUGGCUGUCGUCAGCUCGUGUUGUGAAAUGUUGGGUUAAGUCCCGCAACGAGCGCAACCCUUAUCCUUUGUUGCCAGCGAUUCGGUCGGGAACUCAAAGGAGACUGCCAGUGAUAAACUGGAGGAAGGUGGGGAUGACGUCAAGUCAUCAUGGCCCUUACGAGUAGGGCUACACACGUGCUACAAUGGCAUAUACAAAGAGAAGCGACCUCGCGAGAGCAAGCGGACCUCGUAAAGUAUGUCGUAGUCCGGAUUGGAGUCUGCAACUCGACUCCAUGAAGUCGGAAUCGCUAGUAAUCGUGGAUCAGAAUGCCACGGUGAAUACGUUCCCGGGUCUUGUACACACCG
rnacentral:rRNA from 1 species